rnacentral:rRNA from 1 species
CCCUACGGGGCGCAGCAGGCGCGAAACCUUCACAAUGUGCGAAAGCACGAUGAGGGGAUCCCAAGUGUUGGUUCGUAAGAAUCAACUGUUUCUCCGUCUAAAAAACAGAGAGAGUAAGAACUGGGUAUGACGGGUGCCAGCCGCCGCGGUAAUACCUGCAGUUCAAGUGGUGGCCACUAUUAUUGGGCCUAAAACGUCCGUAGCCGGUUCAGUAAAUGCCUGAGUAAAUUGUGUAGCUUAACUAUACGAAUAUCGGGUAGACUGCUAAGCUUGAGACCGGGAGAGGCUAGGGGUACUCCUAGGGUAGAGGUGAAAUUCUGUAAUCCUAGGGGGACCACCAGUGGCGAAGGCGUCUAGCCAGAACGGGUCUGACGGUGAGGGACGAAGCCCUGGGUCACAAACCGGAUUAGAUACCCGGGUAGUCCAGGGUGUAAACGCUGCUCGCUUGAUGUUAGUUGGGCUCCGAGCCCAACUAGUGUCGGGGAGAAGUUGUUAAGCGAGCUGCCUGGGAAGUACGGUCGCAAGGCUGAAACUUAAAGGAAUUGGCGGGGGAGCAC